GAUGGCAGGUAGGGUAGGGACAAAUAUCAUGACGUGUCACAUACCACCAAUUAUGACUCAGGUGGACGGGCCACCUUUACUUAACCCAGAAAGGGGACACACAUAAAUUAGGUAUGUUCGUUAAAUAGACAAAUGCCUCGUCAUCUAAUUAGUGACAUGUAUGAAUGCAUGAACGAGAUUCCCACUGUCCCUACCUACUAUCCAGCAAAACCACAGCCAAGGGGACAGGCUUGGCGGAAUCAGCGGGGAAAGACCCUGUUGAGCUUGACUCUAGUC
rnacentral:ncRNA from 1 species